UUAUUUAUUUUUCCCCUCCAACAAAAUUUCUCUCAGAAAAAAAGAAGUUUCCCUCUCACUUGCCAGUUUUCCUCUCCCCCUCGUCUCUCUCAUUCGUUGUGGUGUCCAAGUUUGCUUUCAAUCGUUCUUUAAAACUACAGGUGGUUCGCUUGUGUUUUUUCUAGUUCCUACUCUUGAGGUGGUGCGCUAUAGAUUGUUCCACGAAUCCACUUUCUAUUUGAGGUACGACAUGUUAAAUUUUGAGUUUCGUAUCUUAUAAUACUCUGUUUAAUUUUUCAAAAUCACGUUGCCCUGAUUUGUUCAUCGGUUUAUCUUUGCUAAUAUCAUCAGGAACAAAGUGUGAAAUUGCUAUCCAUUGCUGAAUAAUACUAAAAAUAUAUUUUUGUGCUAGGGAUUAUAUUACACCUGAUCAAGGGUUAUUAUAUUUGCGCAGACCAAAUUUUAUAAGCAUUUCCUUUGAUCUUUACUGAUGAAUUUGAGUCCCAUGACUUUCCGCCCGUCGGAACUUUUGGUCAAGCUCCGCCACUAACUGUCUAUGUACAUAAACAAUGGCAUUUGGGUCCAGGAAUUCUACAAAUGUUUUCUUGUUUUUUUUCAUAGACUUUUGAGUCAUUUGAUCACAUUUCACAGCAAACAACAGUUGUUGCCUUUGUUCCAUUCUCUGGCUCCUCCACUGCACCGCUAUGUGUGAAAGCAAUGCCAUCACACUGCGACCUGCAGUUGUCGCACGUCAGCCUACCUUUGUUGGUCGUCUCCUGAUUUCUGAGUGAUCCACUUGAAUUUGUAAGUUGUAUUUUUAUUUUCCUUUUUUCCUAAAACUUGGUAUUUUCAGUUGAAACUUGGGCAUGUUGUAAAUUGUAAGUAGCCUCUUUACCCACCCUUUGAGACUUUACUUGUAUAACUAAUUAGUUUUGCUUAAAUGAGACUAUAUUUUCUGUAACGAGUUAUUUCUUUCUUACAAAGUCAAUUCAAAUAAACAAUUUUGACAUUUUUUUGUGAUAUUUGGUGUGGAAAUAUGGUGCCAACAUCUAAGUUCAGUUGCUUGUCUAGUGAAGAGGACCUUGUAUUACAGCUAGGGGUGUAAACGAGCCGAGCUACUCGAGAUUGGCUAGUAAAAAGCUCGAAACAAGCCGGGCUUAAUUCAACCCAUUUAGUUUUCCAGGUAGAAGAAGCUCAGCAGAAAUGGCGUGUGGCGUUUACUAAAACGAAAAACAAGCUGAAAAUUGCAUUUUCUAAACAGUAAAAGAGGCGAACAUAGAAGAAAUCAGGUAACAGGCAUGAUGCACUGAUGCAGACUGUUAUAACUUUUCUUAUUCCGAUGCACUGAUGAAGGCAUGAUAAGCAAUCCAGCUUAACAAAGGAAACACGGGCGCAGUGGUGGUGAUGUCUAUGGAGCUUACGGUAGUUGUUCUUCUGGAUGCAGUGGUAGUGCUGGGGGUUCAAGGCACAUCCCUGCUUCUAGAAGGCAGGGUUAUAAUUACUGAAGAUGAAGCCUGAAGCCAGCCUAAACAACCAGAAGACCUGUUGAACCGAACCGGUUAUGGCCCACCUUAAGAGGACAACUGAACCAGAAGACCAUGUCCCGACACUAUUUUACCAAGGUGAAGGAAAUUCAGCUUACUAGAGGCAUUGAAAAAACCACCUAAUGCUUGGUGAAGGGCUUAAAAUGUUGUGAAAAGAAGUUAUAUACAACCGUUGGUACUGGCUAGAAGAAACCUUUGGAAACCUGAGUACGAAACUGGAUAUUCAACUCUGGUUUUGUUGCAGGUUUGAUGACGUUGUUUCGUCGACGAUUUUAUGGCGGCAACGCGAUCUGCAGAUAUGUUUUGGCCUUGUAUUAACACGAUUUGCAGAUCUAUUUUUGAAACCCAAGUCUUGAAUACUAGUAGGUCCUAAAGUUAUGAAAUUUUUGUAAUUAACAACAGCCACGUUAAAGUGCUUAAUAAGAUUCUUGUUUAAUGCAGUAGAUAUAGGUUUAGGGUUAAUGCUUAUUGGAUUAUAGAAAGGAAAUGUUUG
rnacentral:lncRNA from 1 species